UCCCCGUUAUCCGGGGCGGUUUCGCUAGAGUGCCCGACUUGGCUCGCUGGCAACUAACGAUAAGGGUUGCGCUCGUUGCGGGACUUAACCCAACAUCUCACGACACGAGCUGACGACAGCCAUGCAGCACCUUCUCACUCGCUCUCCGAAGAACACCCCUACAUCUCUGCAAGGUUCGAGUGGAUUUAACCCAGGUAAGGUUCUGCGCGUUGCGUCGAAUUGAACCACAUGCUCCACCGCUUGUGCAGGCCCCCGUCAAUUUCUUUGAGUUUUAACCUUGCGGCCGUACUCCCCAGGCGGAUGACUUAACGCGUUAGCUGCGCCACCGAAACGCUAAGCGCCCCGACAGCUAGUCAUCAUCGUUUACGGCGUGGACUAC
rnacentral:misc_RNA from 1 species